rnacentral:rRNA from 1 species
UACGGAGGAUCCGAGCGUUAUCCGGAUUUAUUGGGUUUAAAGGGUGCGUAGGCGGUUCAUUAAGUCAGGGGUGAAAGACGGCAGCUCAACUGUCGCAGUACCUUUGAUACUGAUGAACUUGAAUGUACUUGAGGUAGGCGGAAUGUGACAAGUAGCGGUGAAAUGCAUAGAUAUGUCACAGAACACCAAUUGCGAAGGCAGCUUACUAAAGUAUGAUUGACGCUGAGGCACGAAAGCGUGGGGAUCAAACAGG